rnacentral:tRNA from 1 species
GGAAGGGCAAGCCGAUGGGUGACGGCACCCGGCUCGAAACCGGGCGAGCGACGAGCCUUGAGGGUUCGACUCCCUCCUCUUCCG